AGUAUUAUGCCUGAUAAAAGGAUUAAAUUGUAAAUUUAAUAAUGAAUAAAAUUUUUCUAAUACUA
rnacentral:tRNA from 1 species